rnacentral:rRNA from 1 species
GAUGAACGCUGGCUACAGGCUUAACACAUGCAAGUCGAGGGGAAACGACGGGGAAGCUUGCUUCCCCGGGCGUCGACCGGCGCACGGGUGAGUAACGCGUAUCCAACCUGCCUCUGACUGAGGGAUAACCCGUCGAAAGUCGGCCUAAUACCUCAUGGCAUCGUCUGCGGGCAUCCAACGACGAUUAAAGAUUUCAUCGGUCAGAGAUGGGGAUGCGUCUGAUUAGCUUGUUGGCGGGGUAACGGCCCACCAAGGCGACGAUCAGUAGGGGUUCUGAGAGGAAGGGCCCCCCAUUUGGAACGGGGGCCCGGCCCAAACCCCGACGGGGGGCGGCAGUGGGGAAUAUGGGCAAAGGGGCGGGAGCCUGAACCAGCCAAGUAGCGUGCAGGAUGACGGCCCUUUGGGUUUUAACCUGCUUUUAUGGGGGGAUAAAGGGAGGGACGUGCCCUUCAUUGCAGGGACCGCAGGAAUAAGGACCGGCGAAUUCCGU